rnacentral:rRNA from 1 species
ACAGAGAGGUGCUUGCACCUUUGCUGACGAGCGGCGGACGGGUGAGUAAUGCUUGGGAACAUGCCUUGAGGUGGGGGACAACAGUUGGAAACGACUGCUAAUACCGCAUAAUGUCUACGGACCAAAGGGGGCUUCGGCUCUCGCCUUUAGAUUGGCCCAAGUGGGAUUAGCUAGUUGGUGAGGUAAUGGCUCACCAAGGCGACGAUCCCUAGCUGGUUUGAGAGGAUGAUCAGCCACACUGGGACUGAGACACGGCCCAGACUCCUACGGGAGGCAGCAGUGGGGAAUAUUGCACAAUGGGCGCAAGCCUGAUGCAGCCAUGCCGCGUGUGUGAAGAAGGCCUUCGGGUUGUAAAGCACUUUCAGUCAGGAGGAAAGGUUAGUAGUUAAUACCUGCUAGCUGUGACGUUACUGACAGAAGAAGCACCGGCUAACUCCGUGCCAGCAGCCGCGGUAAUACGGAGGGUGCGAGCGUUAAUCG